rnacentral:precursor_RNA from 15 species
CCAUCUUUAGCCACUCUGUGUGCAGUGCCCUACUCAGGAAGGUUCAGUUAAGUAUUUAGACUAUAAUAUUAACCGCACCCUUCUGAGUAGAGUAAUGCUCAACUAUGACGCCAUUUGGGGG